ACUCCCGUCUGCAACUUCACGACGGACAGGUGUACGACCUGAGAGACCGCAAAACAAUUGACCAAAACCGGCCGCGUCUUAAAAUAUACGACAUUGUCUCCAAAGAAUCUACAAAGAUGCUUGGAAUGCUCGACCGUUUCUAUCGUCUCUGCGAAUGGCGAUACGAUACGACUCCUCUUUUUUCCAUCGAUUAACAAAAAUACACCAUAAAUGUUUUCUUGAAAAGGAAUAUAUUCGACUCACGACGACAAGGUUGUACAUAGGUCUUGAAUACUCGAUCACAUGAAUUAUAAUCUGUAGAGGUGAUUAUAACAGGAUAUUAAUUCCAAUGUAUAUUUCAACAUAUGAAUAUUAUUUUCUUUUAUCGUUGAUCAUUAUCCCAGUGUAUCUGUUUUUUAAAUUAUGGUCAUGGCUAGGUUGGCACUUAUUUAUAAAUAAUUAAUAUUAUGUGCAUUGUGUCUUUGGUUAAUUUUGCCUCUUCACUUUCUUUUUGUAAUACCUAGAUUUUCUUUACAGAAAAGUAAAAUAUAAGAAUUCUUCUAUGUUUAUAUAAAAACAUAAUGUUUGUACAUAAUAUCAUUAUAAACUAUUUUCCAUAAAUUAAAUAUUAAAUUUUGUGUCAAGAAAAUUAAAAUUAAA